GACGAACGCUGGCGGCGUGCUUAACACAUGCAAGUCGAACGGAGUGGCGAACGGGUGAGUAACACGUGGGUGAUCUGCCUUGCACUUCGGGAUAAGCUUGGGAAACUGGGUCUAAUACCGGAUAGUGCAAGAUGAGCUCGCGGCCUAUCGGCUUGUUGGUGGGGUAAUGGCCUACCAAGGCGUCGACGGGUAGCCGGCCUUAGAGGGUGUACGGCCACAUUGCGACUAGGGUACGGCCCAGACGCCAACGGGAGGCAGCAGUGGGGGAUAUUGCACACUGGGCGGAAGCCUGAUGCAGCGACGCCGCGGGGGUGAUGAAGGCCUUCGAGUUGUAAGCUCCUUUCGACAGGGACGCGGUACCUGUAUAAGAAGCACCGGCUAGCUACGUGCCAGCAGCCGCGGUAAUUC
rnacentral:rRNA from 1 species